UACGUAGGGGGCUAGCGUUAUCCGGAAUUACUGGGCGUAAAGGGCGCGCAGGCGGUCUUCUAAGUCUGAUGUGAAAGCCCACGGCUUAACCGUGGAGGGUCAUUGGAAACUGGAGGACUUGAGUACAGAAGAGGAGAGUGGAAUUCCACGUGGAGCGGUGAAAUGCGUAGAGAUGUGGAGGAACACCAGUGGCGAAGGCGACUCUCUGGUCUGUAACUGACGCUGAGGUGCGAAAGCGUGGGUAGCGGAACAGGAUUAGGAUACCCGCGUAGU
rnacentral:rRNA from 1 species